UACGUAGGGUGCGAGCGUUAAUCGGAAUUACUGGGCGUAAAGCGUGCGCAGGCGGUUCGUUGUGUCGGCGGUGAAAGCCCCGGGCUCAACCUGGGAAUGGCCGUUGAAACUGGCGAACUGGAGUGUGGCAGAGGGGGGUGGAAUUCCGCGUGUAGCAGUGAAAUGCGUAGAGAUGUGGAGGAAUACCGAUGGCGAAGGCAGCCCCCCUGGGAUAACACUGACGCUCAUGCACGAAAGCGUGGGGAGCAAACAGG
rnacentral:rRNA from 1 species